rnacentral:tRNA from 3 species
GCGCGGUUAGCUCAGCGGUAGAGCGCCUCUCUUACACAGAGGAUGUCACAGGUUCAAAUCCUGUACCGCGCACCA